CCACUGUAUCUCUGUAUUUAUUAUACAACUUCUGCAUGUUGAAGUGUACUUGGAAAAAUGAAAGCAAUACAGGUGUUUCUCGCAGUUUUUCUGUUAUCGGCUAUGGUAGAAAUUGGUAACACUGCACCUUGCUAUUCAAUUGGAGGAUUUUGUACACCGUUUAAAUGUCCUAGAGGUACCUAUUGUGAACACAGGGAUUUCCAUGAGGAUUGUUUGCCUACACACAAUUGUUGUGUCCCAGGUUUUGAAAGGAACAACUGGAAAGUAUAGUCUUCUAUGAUUAACAUUCGUCUCAACUCGGCAGAUUCCGUGGAUAGAAGGAGAGUAGCGGAUUCUACCGAGGAUUGCCGAAUGCUAUGAUUAAAUAUUUGGUUCACUAAAUGCUUUCAAGUC